ACGCUAGCGAUAGGCUUAACACAUGCAGGUCGAGGGGCAGCAUGGUCUUAGCUUACUAAGACUGAUGGCGACCGGCGCACGGGUGCGUAACGCGUAUGCAACUUGCCUCACAGAGGGGGAUAACCCGUCGAAAGACGGACUAAUACCGCGUACACUUGGGAUAGGGCAUCCUGACCCAAGGAAAUGAAAUUCGCUGUGAGAUAGGCAUGCGUCCCAUUAGCUAGUUGGUGAGGUAACGGCUCACCAAGGCGACGAUGGGUAGGGGAACUGAGAGGUUGAACCCCCACACUGGUACUGAGACACGGACCAGACUCCUACGGGAGGCAGCAGUGAGGAAUAUUGGUCAAUGGGCGAGAGCCUGAACCAGCCAAGUCGCGUGAAGGAUGACUGUCUUAUGGAUUGUAAACUUCUUUUAUACGGGAAUAACAAGAGCCACGUGUGGCUCCCUGCAUGUACCGUAUGAAUAAGCAUCGGCUAACUCCGUGCCAGCAGCCGCGGUAAUACGGAGGAUGCGAGCGUUAUCCGGAUUUAUUGGGUUUAAAGGGUGCGUAGGCGGCCUGUUAAGUCAGCGGUGAAAUCUAGGAGCUUAACUCCUAAAUUGCCAUUGAUACUGGCGGGCUUGAGUGUAGAUGAGGUAGGCGGAAUGCGUGGUGUAGCGGUGGAAUGCAUAGAUAUCACGCAGAACUCCGAUUGCGAAGGCAGCUUACUAAGGUACAACUGACGCUGAAGCACGAAAGCGUGGGUAUCAAACAGGAUUAGAUACCCUGGUAGUCCACGCAGUAAACGAUGUUAACUGGGCGUAUGCGAUAUACAGUAUGCUCCUAAGCGAAAGCGUUAAGUUAUCCACCUGGGGAGUACUCCGGCAACGGUGAAACUCAAAGGAAUUGACGGGGGCCCGCACAAGCGGAGG
rnacentral:rRNA from 1 species